UACGAAGGGGGCUAGCGUUGUUCGGAAUUACUGGGCGUAAAGCGUACGUAGGCGGCUAUUUAAGUUAGAGGUGAAAGCCCAGGGCUCAACCCUGGAACUGCCUUUAAAACUGGGUAGCUUGAACACGGGAGAGGUGAGUGGAAUUCCGAGUGUAGAGGUGAAAUUCGUAGAUAUUCGGAGGAACACCAGUGGCGAAGGCGGCUCACUGGACCGUUGUUGACGCUGAGGUACGAAAGCGUGGGGAGCAAACAGG
rnacentral:rRNA from 1 species